rnacentral:rRNA from 1 species
UACGUAGGGAGCAAGCGUUGUCCGGAAUCAUUGGGCGUAAAGCGCGCGUAGGUGGCUUCGUAAGUCCGUUGUGAAAGUCAAAGGCUCAACCUUUGAAAGCCGAUGGAUACUGUGAAGCUAGAGUACGGAAGAGGCGAGUGGAAUUCCUGGUGUAGCGGUGGAAUGCGCAGAUAUCAGGAGGAACACCGGUGGCGAAGGCGGGUCUCUGGGCAGUAACUGACGCUGAGGAGCGAAAGCGUGGGGGGCGAACAGG